rnacentral:sRNA from 1 species
CUGAUGCUGGACAAGAACAAUCUGGUCAAGUACGACAAGAAGACGGGCAACUUCCAGGUGACAGAACUGGGCCGUAUAGCCAGCCACUACUACAUCACCAAUGAUACAGUGCAGACUUACAACCAGCUGCUGAAGCCCACCCUGAGUGAGAUUGAGCUUUUCAGGGUCUUCUCAUUGUCCUCUGAGUUCAAGAACAUCACAGUGAGAGAGGAGGAGAAGCUGGAGCUGCAGAAGUUGCUGGAGAGGGUGCCUAUCCCUGUAAAGGAGAGCAUUGAGGAACCCAGUGCUAAGAUCAACGUUCUUCUGCAAGCCUUCAUCUCACAGCUGAAAUUGGAGGGCUUUGCACUGAUGGCUGACAUGGUGUAUGUCACACAGUCGGCUGGCCGGUUGAUGCGAGCGAUAUUUGAAAUUGUCCUGAACCGAGGUUGGGCACAGCUUACAGACAAGACCCUGAACCUCUGCAAGAUGAUCGACAAACGCAUGUGGCAGUCCAUGUGUCCUCUGCGCCAGUUCCGGAAACUCCCUGAGGAAGUAGUGAAGAAGAUUGAGAAGAAGAAUUUCCCCUUUGAGCGUCUGUACGACCUGAAUCAUAAUGAGAUCGGGGAGCUUAUCCGCAUGCCAAAGAUGGGGAAGACCAUCCACAAAUAUGUCCAUCUGUUUCCCAAGUUGGAGUUGUCAGUGCACCUGCAGCCUAUCACACGCUCCACCCUGAAGGUGGAGCUGACCAUCACGCCAGACUUCCAGUGGGAUGAAAAGGUGCAUGGUUCAUCCGAGGCUUUUUGGAUUCUGGUGGAGGACGUGGACAGCGAGGUGAUUCUGCACCAUGAGUAUUUUCUCCUCAAGGCCAAGUACGCCCAGGACGAGCACCUCAUUACAUUCUUCGUGCCUGUCUUUGAACCGCUGCCCCCUCAGUACUUCAUCCGAGUGGUGUCUGACCGCUGGCUCUCUUGUGAGACCCAGCUGCCUGUCUCCUUCCGGCACCUGAUCUUGCCGGAGAAGUACCCACCUCCAACCGAACUUUUGGACCUGCAGCCCUUGCCCGUGUCUGCUCUGAGAAACAGUGCCUUUGAGAGUCUUUACCAAGAUAAAUUUCCUUUCUUCAAUCCCAUCCAGACCCAGGUGUUUAACACUGUAUACAACAGUGACGACAACGUGUUUGUGGGGGCCCCCACGGGCAGCGGGAAGACUAUUUGUGCAGAGUUUGCCAUCCUGCGGAUGCUGCUGCAGAGCUCGGAGGGGCGCUGUGUGUACAUCACCCCCAUGGAGGCCCUGGCAGAGCAGGUAUGACGUGGCGCUGUGUCAUGUGAAUUUCCCAAGAAGCAUUUCAUCUGUGAUUCCGUAUAAAGGCUUUCUAAGCCCUGAAAUUUGCAGGGUCAUUUCCUCAGUUUGUGUAUUAAAGAAAAGCUGCCCCAGCCAAGUGUGGUGGCUCACGCCUGUAAUCCCAGCACUUUGGGAGGCCGAGGCGGGCAGAUCUCCUGAGAUCAGGAGUUCGAGACCAGCCUGGCCAACAUGGUGAAACCCUGUCUCUACUAAAAAUACAGAAAUUAGCUGGGCGUGGUGGUGUGCGCCUGUAAUCCCAGCUACUUGGAAGGCUGAGGCAGGAGAAUCGCUUGAACCUGGGAGGCGGAGGUUGCAGUGAGCCAAGU